UACGUAGGGUGCUAGCGUUGUCCGGAUUUAUUGGGCGUAAAGGGCUCGUAGGCGGCGUGUUGCGUCGGGAGUGAAAGCCCGCUGCUUAACGGCGGGUUGGCUUCCGGUACGGGCAUCGCUGGAGUGCGGCAGGGGAGACUGGAAUUCCUGGUGUAGCGGUGGAAUGCGCAGAUAUCAGGAGGAACACCGGUGGCGAAGGCGGGUCUCUGGGCCGAUACUGACGCUGAGGAGCGAAAGCGUGGGGAGCGAACAGG
rnacentral:rRNA from 1 species